CGUGAGCCAGUCUCCGCUCCCCUCGACGCUUCAGGGCAAGCCGCAGCUGGGUGGGUCGAGGAGGAGCGGAGACCCCUGUGGGAGCCACUCCGGCACGAUUAACCCUCUUCUCCCUCUGCCUUUCCCCGCAGGUGUGGCCGCGCCGUCGAGGCUGGAGGCGCCGCGGGAGCAGCGAGGGCCGCAGGCAGAGAAUGUGGCACAGCCCCUGUUCUGGGACAGAAGGACGGACGUCCGAGGGACAUGGACAUCUCCUCUCAGCUUGGCCACGGUCCAUAUGAUGGAGCAAUGUAUUCAAGCUGUGGGUUGA
rnacentral:lncRNA from 1 species